rnacentral:lncRNA from 1 species
CGGGUUUCCGUGGACCAGCCUAUUAGAGAGGGGCACGGUAAACCCGGUUAUAUUUUACCUCGGUACGAGAGGCGCGAAGGGUAUCUCCUGAGGUAAAGCUUUAGAGUUCACUACACGCUAAACCACCACGUGAGAGUGAACUCAGCCAACGCCAAGGAACGACUAUGCUUUUAAACGUAAAAAUGUGUUUUAUGCGUAUAUGAACUUUUCUUUAACAGCCUUGGUGGACUCGGUUGGAUGUGUCGGCCAAGGUAUCCCUGAGAAUGAGUUUUGGCACGAGCCAAAUUUUUAAGAAAUUCAUAAGCCAUGUUGAUUAUUUGAGUGAAAUGAAAUUAUUUUAUUUAGUUGAAAUGAGUUUGAAAC